AUUGAACGCUGGCGGCAGGCCUAACACAUGCAAGUCGAGCGGCGCGGCGGACGGGUGCGUAAUGCUAAGGAAUCUGCCUGGUAGUGGGGGAUAACGUCAGGAAAUGGGCGCUAAUACCGCAUACUUUCAGAAGCGCCUAGGUCGGAUUAGCUGUUGGGUGGGGUAAAGGCCAACCAAGGCGACGAUCCGUAACUGGUAUGAGAGGAUGAUCAAUCACACUGGAACUGAGACACGGUCCAGACUCCGACAUGACUCAUCGUUGCUAAAUAUUGGAAAAUGGGCGAAAGCCUGAUCCAGCCAUGCCGCGUGUGUGAAGAAGUUCUUCGGAUUUUAAAGCACUUUAAGUUGGGAGGCGUUACCAACAGAAUAAGCACCGGCUAACGUCGUGCCAGCAGCCGCGGUAAUUC
rnacentral:rRNA from 1 species